rnacentral:rRNA from 1 species
GACGAACGCUGGCGGCGUGCCUAAUACAUGCAAGUCGAGCGAGCUUGCCUAGAUGAAUUUGGUGCUUGCACCAGAUGAAACUAGAUACAAGCGAGCGGCGGACGGGUGAGUAACACGUGGGUAACCUGCCCAAGAGACUGGGAUAACACCUGGAAACAGAUGCUAAUACCGGAUAACAACACUAGACGCAUGUCUAGAGUUUAAAAGAUGGUUCUGCUAUCACUCUUGGAUGGACCUGCGGAGCAUUAGCUAGUUGGUAAGGCAACGGCUUACCAAGGCAAUGAUGCAUAGCCGAGUUGAGAGACUGAUCGGCCACAUCGGGACUGAGACACGGCCCAAACUCCUACGGGAGGCAGCAGUAGGGAAUCUUCCACAAUGGACGCAAGUCUGAUGGAGCAACGCCGCGUGAGUGAAGAAGGGUUUCGGCUCGUAAAGCUCUGUUGGUAGUGAAGAAAGAUAGAGGUAGUAACUGGCCUUUAUUUGACGGUAAUUACUUAGAAAGUCACGGCUAACUACGUG